AUUGAACGCUGGCGGUAGGCCUAACACAUGCAAGUCGAACGCGAAAGUCCUUCGGGAUGAGUAGAGUGGCGGACGGGUGAGUAACGCGUAGGAAUCUAUCCUGUAGUGGGGAUAACGUUUCGAAAGGAACGCUAAUACCGCAUACGCCCCACGGGGGAAAGGCGGGGGAGUCUUCGGACCUCGUGCUAUAGGAGGAGCCUGCGUCGGAUUAGCUAGUUGGUGAGGUAAAGGCUCACCAAGGCGACGAUCCGUAGCUGGUCUGAGAGGAUGAUCAGCCACACCGGAACUGAGACACGGUCCGGACUCCUACGGGAGGCAGCAGUGGGGAAUAUUGCGCAAUGGGCGAAAGCCUGACGCAGCCAUACCGCGUGUGUGAAGAAGGCC
rnacentral:rRNA from 1 species